UUAUCAUUCUAACCCCAUCUGGCAUUCCAUCCCUCCAUUUAUCCAUCUUCCCACUUACCCAUCUUCUCCAUCCAGCACUCCGUUCAUCAGUCCGUCUCUCCCUCCAUAUUUCCAUCUGUCCAUUCAUCCACUCAUUUUGCCAUCCAUACAUAUUCACCCAGCCAUCUCCCAAUCCAUCGACAUACCCCAUCCCUCCCUCACUGGACUCUCCGGGGUCUUAGUACUAUGAUACUUCAGAGACAAUUCCAUGCUGAUACGGGGGAGAUCAAUUUUGGGGCUCUGGGAUAAGUCUGUCCCACAUCUGUCUGAUUUCCCUUGGCAUCCUUCCCGUCAGUUCCUCUUGAAUAUCCCAGUUCUUGUACCCACUCACAUACCUCAGAUCCCUUCACUCCUCCCCGCAGUUUGCAGCCUCUACAAUUCAUCCACAUGCUCCCUCCCCCAGCAAAAUAAUUCAGGUCGUGGAGACAAAAGGCUUUUAUGUUAGGUUCUGUCUGCCCCCUUGUUCCAGCAGUGGUAUGCCCAGUGAGAGGCACAAUUUAAACGGUUUCUUUGGUGAUGAUAUUAGCUACUUUCAUCAAAUACUUAGCCUCUUGUGCUUUAGCACAUUAUUUAUGUAAGCUCCCCUAGGAUUCUCUGAAGCACCCUGGUGUCCUGGCUGUGAAUUCAAGUCCCAUCUUUACUUAUUUGGUGUGGGUCCUCCCUCUGAGCCGGUUUUCUCAUCUACAAAAUGAAGACAACAGUACUUCCCUCCUGGGAUCAUUGAAAGAUUUAGGGAGCAUAUCCUUCCACUUCCCAAACAUAUUUGAACCUCUGACUUGCUUAGGAGCAUCAUUCAAAUCACAGAUCCCCCAGUAUCUAGUCCCAACCUAUUGAAUCAGGAUCCCCAGGGAAGGAGGAGCUUGGGAAUCUGAUUUUUUUUUUUUUUUUUAGAUAAAGUCUCACUCUGUCACCCAGGCUUGAGUGCAGUGGCAAAAUCUUGGCUCAUUGCAACCUCCACCUCCUGGGUUCAAGCAAUUCUCAUGCCUCAGCUUCCCGACAUAGCUGGGAUUAUAGGCGUGCACCACCAUGCCCAGCUAAUUUUUCGUUGUUGUUGUUGUUGUUUUGUUUUUGAGACAGAGUCUCGCUCUGUUGCCCAGGCUGGAGUACAGUGGCACGAUCUUGGCUCACUGCAAGCUCCGCUUCCCGGGUUCACGCCAUUCUCCUGCCUCAGCCUCCCGAGUAGCUGGGACCACAGGUGCCCGCCACCACGCCCGGCUAAUUUUUUUGGUAUUUUUAGUAGAGACGGGGUUUUACCAUGUUAGCCAGGAUGGUCUCGAUCUCCUGACCUCGUGAUCCUCCCGCCUCGGCCUCCCAAAGUGCUGGCAUUACAGGCGUGAGCCAUCAUUCCUGGCUGGGAAUCCGAAUUUUUUUUUUUUUUUAGACGGAGUUUCGCUCUUGUUGCCCAGGCUGGAGUUCAAUAGCAUGAUCUCGGCUCACUGCAACCUCUGCCUCCCAGGUUCAAGUGAUUCUCCUGCCUCUAGCUGGGAUUGCAGGCGCCCACGACCACGCCCAGCUAAUUUUUGUAUUUUGUAGUAGAGACGGGAUUUCGCCAUAUUGGCCAGGCCAUAGUGGUCUUGGACUCCUGACCUCAGGUGAUCCGCCCACCUCGGCCUCCCAAAGUGUUGGGUUUACAGGCGUGAGCUACCAUACCCUGCCCAGGAAUCUGAAUUUUUAGCAAUCAGUUAGCAGCAAAUAAGCUGAGAUUUCCUGGGUACUAAGCACAUACUAUGAGCAUUACAGCCGCUUUAUAUAAGCUCGUUCACUGUCCUCAUUACAUUCCUAAUAUGCAAGUGAGCAUGUUUUUUAAUCCUCAGUCUAGAGGUGAGGAAACUGAGGCAGGCACAGAGAGGCUAAGGGAUUUGCCUAGUCGCACAGCUAGGAAGGUGCAGCACUGAGACUCGAAUCCACACAGCUUGGCUUAAGUCUACCAUUAAAUUUGCCUGUCCUGGCCAGGUGCGGUGGCUCACGCCUGUAAUCCCAACACUUCGUGAGGCCAAGGCAGGUGGAUCACUUGAAGUGAGGAGUUCGAGACCACACCAGCCUGGCCAACAUGGUGAAAUCCCGUCUUUACUAAAAAUACAAAAAAUUAGCUGGGCGUGGUGGUGGGUGCCGGUAAUCCUAGCUACUCAGGAGGCUGAGGCAGGAGAAUCACUUGAACCUGGGAGGUGGAGGUUGCAGUGAACCGAGAUUGCGCCACUAGACUCCAGCCUGGGAGACGAGCAAAACUGUCUCAAAAAAAUAAAAUGAAAUACAUAAAUAAAUGUGCCUAUCCUGUGCCGGGUGCUGUUCUUGCCAGUGGGGAUACAUGAGAGAACACUGCCUUGCCCGCAUGAGGCUUGUGGCCUGGUACUGUGCACACCUCAGGGGAUUCUGAUAAUUAGCUGAGCACAGUUGCCAGCACAGGGCCUGGCUCAAUAAAUAUUAGCUGCUGGCUUCUGCUCA
rnacentral:lncRNA from 10 species